GAUGAACGCUAGCGGCAGGCUUAAUACAUGCAAGUCGUGGGGCAGCAUGAGUAGCAAUACUUGAUGGCGACCGGCAAACGGGUGAGGAACACGUACACAACCUUCCUUCAAGCGGGGAAUAGCCCAGAGAAAUUUGGAUUAAUACCCCAUAAUAUAUUUGAUAAGGCAUCUUAUUAAUAUUAAAGCUUCGGCACUUGAUGAUGGGUGUGCGGCUGAUUAGAUAGUUGGCGGGGUAACGGCCCACCAAGUCUACGAUCAGUAGCUGAUGUGAGAGCAUGAUCAGCCACACGGGCACUGAGACACGGGCCCGACUCCUACGGGAGGCAGCAGUAAGGAAUAUUGGACAAUGGACGAAAGUCUGAUCCAGCCAUGCCGCGUGAAGGAUUAAGGUCCUCUGGAUUGUAAACUUCUUUUAUAUGGGACGAAAAAGGGCAUUCUUGUUCACUUGACGGUACCAUAUGAAUAAGCACCGGCUAACU
rnacentral:rRNA from 1 species